UACAGAGGUCUCAAGCGUUGUUCGGAUUCAUUGGGCGUAAAGGGUGCGUAGGUGGCGGGGUUAGUCAGGUGUGAAAUUUCGGGGCUCAACCCCGAAACUGCACUUGAUACUGCCUUGCUAGAGUACUGGAGAGGAGAUUGGAAUUUACGGUGUAGCAGUGAAAUGCGUAGAUAUCGUAAGGAAGACCAGUGGCGAAGGCGAAUCUCUGGACAGUUACUGACACUGAGGCACGAAGGCCAGGGGAGCAAACGGG
rnacentral:rRNA from 1 species